rnacentral:rRNA from 1 species
CCCUUAGAUGUUCUGGGCCGCACGCGCGCUACACUGACGAUGGCAACGAGUUUUUCCUUCGCCGAAAGGUGUGGGUAAUCUUUUGAAACAUCGUCGUGCUGGGGAUAGAUCAUUGCAAUUUUUGAUCUUGAACGAGGAAUUCCUAGUAAGCGCGAGUCAUCAGCUCGCGUUGAUUACGUCCCUGCCCUUUGUACACACCGCCCGUCGCUACUACCGAUUGAAUGUUUUAGUGAGGACUCCUGAUUGGCGCCGCCGCCCCGGCAACGGAGCAGCGGACUGCCGAAAAGUUGUUCAAACUUGAUCAUUUAGAGGAAGUAAAAGUCGUAACA